rnacentral:rRNA from 1 species
ACGGCCGCAAGGUUAAAACUCAAAUGAAUUGACGGGGGCCCGCACAAGCGGUGGAGCAUGUGGUUUAAUUCGAUGCAACGCGAAGAACCUUACCUGGUCUUGACAUCCACGGAAGUUUUCAGAGAUGAGAAUGUGCCUUCGGGAACCGUGAGACAGGUGCUGCAUGGCUGUCGUCAGCUCGUGUUGUGAAAUGUUGGGUUAAGUCCCGCAACGAGCGCAACCCUUAUCCUUUGUUGCCAGCGGUCCGGCCGGGAACUCAAAGGAGACUGCCAGUGAUAAACUGGAGGAAGGUGGGGAUGACGUCAAGUCAUCAUGGCCCUUACGACCAGGGCUACACACGUGCUACAAUGGCGCAUACAAAGAGAAGC